GACGUAGGAUGCGAGCGUUGUCCGGAUUUAUUGGGCGUAAAGUGUUCGUAGGUGGUUUGUUAAGUCUGAUGUUAAAGACUGGGGCUCAACCUCGGAAGUGCAUUGGAUACUGGCAGACUCGAGUGCAGUAGAGGCAAGCGGAAUUCCAGGUGUAGCGGUGAAAUGCGUAGAUAUCUGGAAGAACACCGGUGGCGCAAGCGGCUUGCUGGGCUGUAACUGACACUGAGGAACGAAAGCUAGGGUAGCGAAUGGG
rnacentral:rRNA from 1 species